rnacentral:pre_miRNA from 1 species
GGGGGUCACCUUGGGGGUCACGUGACCUUGGGGAGGGGACCACGUGUCCUCGGGGGUCACGUGGUCCCCUUAAGGUCACGUGACCUUAAGGUGACCU